ACAACUGAAUGAAAUCCAGAGGCUGUGAAUGACUUAUCCGAGAGUUGAUAGAGGGCGACCACUCCCGCCCUCCCUCCCUCCCAAUAGCCUACUUCUCCUAGUUGUGUGGUGAUUAACUUUGAUAAUGGUUUUUAACACAACAUUUGUGAAAAAGGAGCAUUACAUUCAAAUUAAUAAACACUUCAACAUUAUUUCUGCCUCGGAAAUGGGAUUUUAGCAAUUAAAAACAUCAUUACUGACAGUGACUGCAUUUCCUAUAUUGACUCUAGUGCCUCUUGAGGUAGAAAGUGGUAUUUAACGAGUUGUCUUGAACGCUUUAUUAUGAUGAAACCAAAGUAGCCGAUGAUAGUCUACAGCCUGUCAACAGGUUUUUAUUUUCUGAUAAAAAGUGUAGCUUUUUUGAGUGUAGCUUGCUCACUUCAGGGUGAGUAGUAAAUAUGUCAUAAAAGUCCAAUAACUAGGCUAUGAAACACCAGCUUGUGCAGAAGAAUUGUUGAAGCUUAAAAUACUGUUAUGAACAUUGUUGUAUGUCUGAAGUAUAACAUUGUUAUAAAACUGCAAAAAAGUUUUAUUAUUAUUAUUAUUAUUAUUAUUAUUAUUAUUAUUACCGCAGCAACUCUGACCUUUCACAAGCUACAAGUGGGUUUCUCUGUCUUUAUUUUAUUCAUACAGUGUCUCCUGUGCCACUGGCUGCUGGAAACCCCCAAAACAGAAUGUUUUGAACAUGAGGUCCAUGUUUGAACCUCCUACCUUCAGCAGUGGAGCAGCACAGUCUAAACCUCAAUCAAAGGCACACAGACCCCCAUCUCCAGUUCCCAGCUGUGUUUCAAUGAAGAGUGAUGGGUCCAUGUUUGAACCUCCUAACUUCAGUAGUCCACCAGCACAGUCUACACCUCAUGUCUCCUGUGCCACUGGCUGCUGGAAACCCCCAAAACAGAAUGUUUUGAACAUGAGGUCCAUGUUUGAACCUCCUACCUUCAGCAGUGGAGCAGCACAGUCUAAACCUCAGUGAGUCUUUGUCUUUCAGAUUAGUGCAGGAUUUGUGUAACUCAGAGGAGUUGAAUUUAGUGUUUUUGGGUUGUCGGUUGUUGUUGUUGUUUUGUUGUGAUUUGAGUGAGUCAUCUGUCUGUAUGUGGCAGAGACCAUUGUGCCCACACUCAACUCAUCCAAGUUUCAACAUGUUCCUACACAAGAAGAGUUCCCUCCCUGUGUCAACCAAGUUUGAUUUCCCUUCGUGCUCAGCAUCUGAUUGAGAUGUAUUUUCACACAAUAUCCAUUACAACAAUUUGAAAUGGUUCCCAUUUUGAGGUUCCCAGCACUCGUUUUUGAACAUUUUAAAUCUUAUUGUUAAAAUCUCCACUGGUACAACCAUGAUGUGUCAACACAAUUAGUGGAUUUCUGAAAUUAUUUGAAAUUUUGCGAUAACCUUAUUCUUAGGUAGGUUCUGUUAGUAGCUAGCUGGAAAACAUGGAAAAUGCUAGUAUCGACAGAACACUUGGAAAAUGUUUAAUAUUGUAAAUGAUUGAAAAUUACUGUUAUAUUUUACAAAAUAGAAUCACAUCACGGUGCACUCUAAUCCAAGCCAGAAACAGUAAACAUUUGAUUUUGAUGGAGGUUGUAUUUCAUAGCCAGUUAUAAUUGUGUCAAAUGAUCACCACCACUCUAUGAAUGAGCCCUGCAUGGUUUUAGAGGGUGGUGAUGCUCUGGAAAAAAAAAUGGUUAUGUGAAUAAAUAAAUAAAAAAAAUAUUUUUUUCUUUUGUU
ensembl:lncRNA